rnacentral:rRNA from 1 species
CCUACGGGAGGCAGCAGUAGGGAAUAUUGCUCAAUGGGCGAAACCCUGAAGCAGCAACGCCGCGUGGAGGAUGAAGGUUUUCGGAUUGUAAACUCCUGUUGUUAGAGAAGAUAAUGACGGUAUCUAACGAAUAAGCAACGGCUAAUUCCUUGCCAGCAGCCGCGGUAAUACGGAGGGUGCAAGCGUUACGCGGAAUCACUGGGCGGAAAGCGCGCGGAGGCGGGAUAGCAAGUCAGAGGUGAAAUCCUAUGGCUUAACCAUAGAACUGCAUUUGAAACUGGUAUUCUAGAGUAUGGGAGAGGUAGGUGGAAUUCUUGGUGUAGGGGUAAAAUCCGUAGAGAUCAAGAGGAAGAUUCAUUGCGAAGGCGACCAGCUAGAACAUAACUGACGCUGAUGCGCGAAAGCGUGGGGAGCAAACAGGAUUAGAUACCCCAGUAGUC